UACAUGGGGUGCAAACGUUGCUCGGAAUUAUUGGGCGUAAAGCGCACGUAGGCGGUUCGUUAAGUCGGAUGUGAAAGCCCUCGGCUCAACUGAGGAAGUGCACCCGAAACUGGCGAGCUUGAGUACGAAAGAGGAUCGCGGAAUUCCCGGUGUAGAGGUGAAAUUCGUAGAUAUCGGGAGGAACACCGGGUGGCGAAGGCGGCGAUCUGGGUCGAUACUGACGCUGAGGUGCGAAAGCGUGGGGAGCAAAGCAGG
rnacentral:rRNA from 1 species